UGAUAAGACAGUUACGGUUUUGUAGUCGGUGCUUAUUAUGGUUUUGGUUUUGACAUACGAAAUUGAAGGUUUUUAACUUUGAUGUGGUCAUAGAACGUAUGGUGUCCAUUGGUGAAUAAUUGGUUGCAGGGUUUACAGUGGAUAAUGAUAGGAGCCAAUCGACUACACCCGAACAGGAAAUAAGGACGAAAAUAGGAACGAAUAAGAAAGGCGAAGAGCUGUAAGAAUCCCUAUCCUAAGAAGCACUGGAGGCCGAAGCGGAUUGUCCAGAUCGUCGUGACGAAAAACGGUUGAGGGGUCCAAGUGUCGCGGGGGUAACGAGAAACCGCAACCAGUACUGCCCGAAGUGGUCCCCACAAGUCCUAGCGUCAUGCGAUGGAGAGACGCUGAAAAAGAAGGUGAAAAUGAGUAUCGACGUGACUCGAUAGGAAAUACGAAAAACUUGGCUUCUUAUCGAGACUUGGCUGUUAUCACCAAGCCCCGUCAAAGAAACGAGCGAAAGAAGCCAAUUAAUAGGAUAAUGGAGCCGUACUUUGGAGCCUUUAAAAUU